rnacentral:lncRNA from 1 species
CACUCUGUCAUUUCCUAAACUCUGAUGUUUUUUACAGUAUCUCUGGCAGUUAAAAGAACAUAUGUACGUGUAUAUCCCCAGAGCAGACUGCAAACAUGUUUUUAGAAGUACACAAGAAGACAUCUAUUUCAUAGGUCAAACCAAAGGAAUCUGGCUUUUAUUGUUAAAGGACUCGAGGGAACACAUGUAUUGCUGUCGGCUUCUCUCCACACCCACUCUGUGAGAUGACUACAGGAUCAUUUUAAUCAAGAAUGAAGACUACAUAAUUCAAGCAACAGGGUCAAAAGUCUGAUGUCUGCAGGGAAAGUGCAUUGGUUUAACUUCAGUCAGAUUUUAAAUCUUGGCUUUAAGGCUUGGCUAAAUAAUUAGGUCAAACCAGUGCAACGUUCCCGUGUAACUAAGGCCUUAAAAAAGGAUUUUAAAGAUAAAUAUCUCAGUUAAUUACUUAAGCUACAGUCUGAAACCUAUUGAAGUCAAUGAGACAGGAGAGCAAGCAGCCAACAAGAUACACUCUGAAGUGUCUUUCUGAAUCAGUAGCUUCAUUCUGCUCUAAGGAACAAACCUCCAUUUCAGCGAAAGUCAUCUUAGGAUCAUGGUGCUUUCUUAGAUCUCUGUCAGCCACAAAGCCUACAAGAGAGAGGACAGUGCUAAGGCCUCGCUGCAGGAGAGUGUUGCAGGAAGCUGGAGAGAGCAGAUUCUCAGCUAUACAUUCCAUUACAAAGUCUGACUUAAUUCAUGGAUCAGGAAUGGAAGACCAACUCCCUUGCCUUCAAACCAUGAGGAGUUUGAGAAAGUAGAGUCAACUUCUCACUGUACCAAACUAAAAGAACAGACACAAAUGAAAAACUUCAAUAGUGCAACAAGCUCUGCUCAAAGAAGCUCACCCAGCAGCCCGUUCAAUGCUUUGGCUUUUGUUAAAAGGGAGGUUCUUCAGAGCAAGAGGUUCCAUUACAUGUCUACAUGUUGAGGAGAAGACCCUGGCCAGUGGCCGGCCACCCAUUCAGCCACUCCCUCACUCCCCUUCCUCAUGGGGGCAUGCAGGGGCAGAAAAAUGAUGAAAAAGCUUGUGGACAGAGAUAAAGACAGGGAAAUUACUUACUAAUUACUGUCAAGCAAUUACUUACCAAUUUGUCACUUGGAGAAAAUUAAUUUUUUGCCAAUUGAAAGAGCUUUGGUUUUUUUGAGAAACAAAAUCAAAAACUGAAGGCACGUCUUACCCCCACAUCCUUUCCCACUUCAUUCCUGAUUCCUCUUUCAGUGAAUGGGAGGUGUGACGGGUCCACAACAGUUCCUCUCCACCUCUCCUUUCUCCUCACACUGUUCUCUUGCUCCACCAUGGGCCUCUUCAAUGGGCUGCAGAUUCAUGCUCUGUCUUGGAGGACCUCAUUACUCUCCUCUUUCUCUGAACUUGGCCUUCACCCCAUUACUUCAUCCUUUUUUUCCCCUUCCUCUGCCUGCCUAGUGCUUUUGCCCAUUCUUUAAUACAUCUUCCCUGAGACACCAGCAAAAAGCCACGUGGGCUCCUGGAGCUUGGCAGCGUCUGCUAGGAUGGCCACUGGUCCAUCACUGGUCAACAAUGAGUGUUGCGCCAUCACUUGUUGUAUGCUUCUGGUUCUAAUGCAAGGGAGCAGAUUUAUAUAUAACGUCACUAUUUCCAACCUCAGAUAUUCAGCAAAUGUAUUUUUUUCCCCAAAUACUUUUCAAUGGCAAAUAUAGAUACCUUUUCGUUUGUAUUUUGACCUCCAAGCCUUGAAUCUUUCUCCAAACACAUAGUCAAGAAACUCAUUUUUCAAAAGUCCUAAGAGUUGAGUUUCUUAUGAGAGUCUGGUCCACUUCAAGGAGAGAAACCUCAGUUUAUGAAAAAUAAUAUUACAACUGUUGUGCUGGCUGAUGUCCUCUACUUUUACAAGAGAACAAUAGAAAAUCAAUUACACUGACAAACCCCCCUUGUGGGGUGAAACUGUGUAGGCUUUCCCAACAGACAUAACAGAUGUUUCUUGAAGAGUGAUUUCUGAAGGUAAGGAAAUAAGGCAUCUUUUCAUGAAUAUUAUAUCUUCAUUUCUGCAGCUACAUAUUGUAAUCCUUCUGCAUUUCCAAGAGUGGUAGGCUUUAUCACAGAGACAAUUGCUUUGUGUUGGACUAAAACCACAGCUUUUUUGCUUAUGGAGUACCAAGCAAUGUGUAGAUGGUGACACUCACCAAAAAUCUCAGCAAACUGACAUUGCAUCAGGUGAAAAACAUUUGUCCUGCUCCUUUCCCCCACCAUGCCACCCUUCUCUGUCUCAUAUUUGUACAUCAAGAAAAAGAUACAGUAUUUGGUAUUUAAAACUUACUUUUGUAGAAGGUUGUAGCAGCACACAUUUUUAGAGAAGUAUUCUGCCAGGUCAGGGGAGGAUUUAUUUUCUGAAUGCCUAAUGCAUAUUUAAAAGCUGAUAAUAGUACAUGACAGCACCAAAAAUGUUAUAUAACUUCUAGAAUGUCUAUUAAAAAAGUAGAGCCUUGCCAUUAAAAAAAAAAGUAGAAGCCUGUGAGAUUCCCACCAUCUGGAUGGAGUCUUUUUUCUUCCCAGAUGAAUUAGUUGUCAAGGGAGGAAUUAUUUUAGGCAUCAAGUAACCCCUGAUUGUGAGUGACAGACUAACACAAGAGCAGAUGCAAGGUUACUGCUGCCUAUCCAUUAUGUGGAAAGGAGACCCAUGCAUGUCCUACUUACUGUGCAUACUGACUUGGGUUAUUAAAAGAGUAACUAGAGGUGGGUCAGACCCAGAAGAUAGCUCAUACGACUCACAACAGAUGUUCUUUCACAGGAGAGAAAACAAACACUGGAUACUUUCUGGGGAUACUGUAGAAGGAGGGGACUUCACUACUUUCAACAAGUCACAAGUACAGAUUCCCAACAGAGGCACAAACCAACUUUUUCAUUCAAAUAACAGUUAUUUGAGACCGUGAUGAAACACGAGAGGACUGUGGACCGUGACAGUGAGAAUAAAGAAAUAAAAAACAGUGCCAUCUUGUGGCCUACAGUACUCUGAAUGCUCCCAAGAGGAAAGAGGAAAAUCUUUUGCACUAAGAAAAAAGUACCGGUAACUUCUGGCCAAACGAUAAGUAACCUUAUUUCAGUUCAGAAUCCUGUCUUGAAUAUGCAGACUUUGGUUUUAUCAUAUGACUGAAACAAAUACCUCUUCCUUUUAUAAUCGCACGUGUUAUAAAAGAGUGGCAUAUUGUUUUUAUUGGACUAAUUCUCGUUCCACUACUACUGAAGAGAUUUGAGAGCUCAUAUAUUCAUCAUCCGUCGAAGUAAUCUCCAUGGUAUCUUAGAUUCAGACAAAUGAAUUGUCCAAGAUGAGAAUUUCUUUCUGAAAAUGAAGAUGAAAUCAUUUAUUAUCUUUCAUUGUUAUAUUGAAACAAAUAUAUAGUUCUAUUUAAUUUUUUAACUGUAGAUGGUGGGAAAAUAAAAGAGCAGUUCAAUGUCCCAGAAUAUAUGGCACAUAUUUCCCUGCACUGAGCUUUUCUAAAGUGUAAUUUUUUGAUGCUUACUGUAGCACAUUAAAAGCAACAGAUUGCACUUAUCUCUGUAAAUCAUUGAGCUCUAAUGGUUCAACACAUGGUCUGUGAAAGACCAACUGAGCCUCACGAGCAAUAAAGUUGUGUAUAUUAAGAAAAAGGUGAUGACAUUAUCACAUUAGGUGUGUUGAAAUCUAUUAGCAUCUAAAACGGCUCCUCAUCACUUUUGGUUAGAGUGCUCAGAUUAUCACAGUAACUGUUCAAGCCAGGGAAAGAUGUCUGUAAGUGCCCCUUAUGUCUCUUUAUACAUACUGUCUCAUCUGAUUGACAAACAUCUAUCUACUUGCUGGAGGAAUUUCAGGGACUAUACUCCUUAUCAGUGCCAGAGCAAUGUGUUCCCAUGUGAUCUCCGAGCGUACAACACAUAUAAUGCAAAAGUAGUGAAGAAUAUGUUGAGCUAUGAUUGCACUCAGUGGGUAUCCAUCUUUAUUCAGCAACAUUUUCCCAUGCACUUUAAAGUGUUUCUAGAAGGUAAAGAACAAAUUGUCUGGUUACCUUUUUUUGUUAGAAACAUGGUGGUAUUUCCCAUAGGCUAGAACAAGCCAUACUUUUCUCCUAAAUACUUCCCCAUGACUGAAGUGAGGAGAAGCCAUGAUUUUAGCUGAUGGGAAUAAAAUCAUUCACUAAAACACAGGGCUUAGCUGAAAGAGCAUCAGGCUGCUGCUUUUUUUUUUAAAUACCAGAAAUGAAUCAUUAUUUUAUUAUUUUCUAUCUUUGUGCUGUAAAUAUUCCUCAGGCCUAAACAGCAAGAGAAGAAUAUAUUCUAGACUCUGACAGGUUCUUAUUCACUGACGCUAAAAAAUACCUGUUCAUAACAUCACUGGAGGAAUUCAUGUUAGACUGUGACCAAAGCAGGUGCGUGUAUGAAUACAUUAUUGGCGUACAUGGGCUGACACACUGAUUAAGAGCAUUUUUAGUCACAUUUUGGUCAUAAUUGUCCAGUAGGUGGUGUUAUGAGUCACAGGAAUUAGACAUUUCUCAGGAAAACUGAAGUGAUUUGGAUGCUAAAAGCAGCUCAGGGCUUUGGGGAACAAGGAGGAGAAAUAGUUUGUUGAACUUCAUAGUGCAAAACUGUUUGAUUAACAAUUAAAAUUUGUUUAUAUAUACACAAGAUGCCUAGUUAAUAAUACAGGUGGAGUGGAUUACUUGUUGUCAAAAACUCAUAUUCUGCUAAUUUUUGCUUGCUUUUAAAACUGAUUAUCUGCCACAAAUCCAUAUAAAAGGUGUGAACUGGACUUUUGCCAUCUCCAGACUGUAACAGCCAUUCGUCAGGUCAUUGGCUGCCUCACUCAAGGUUUGCAUUUCACUGUUAUAUUAAAUAUGAGUAAAGAGUCUGAGAUCAGUUGUGAAGGCCUUUGGAAGAACCAUUCUCACUGUAGCACAGUGACUAUUUCAGACAGAAAGAAAGCUAAAUGAGCAGAGAACCUGGACUAUUUUUUUUUUCCUUCUCCUUUUAUUUUUUUUUCCAAGGGCUUCCCUACCACCUGUAAUUUUGUCUAUGUGCUCUCUGUUUUCUGCUAACAUGGUUCUAUUCUUCUAAAAAGAUCUUAACGAUUACCAGGCUAGGGAGACUGCAUUUGCAUGGUUGCUUUUUCUGGUAAGUAGAUGUAGAAAAGCAGAGCCACAGAGCCUUGAAACCUGUCUCUUCCUUUGCCUACUUUACAUUAACCAGUCAUCAUGUAAAAUACAUGGUAAAGCGUACACCAAAAUCCAGACGUCUUGCACUCUAGAUGAGUUCCUGAAUCAUUAUUUGACAUCAGAAGAUGUAAGAUCUCACCCUGUGAAUUUUGAAUUCUUCCCUGAAUGAUGUUGCAGUUUCACCUUUUGGUCUUGGUAGCUAGGAUACUGUACCUGGAAGUCAGAGAUGUGGGUCUGAGCUCUCCUAAAAGCAUACAAAAGCUAAAGGUAGGCUUCAUGCAUCUAGGUUAUAUGUCCUAAUCCUGUGUUUACGAUGAUGCAUAUCUUCUUCUUUCCAGAAGGCAGGGAAAAGUUCUGUUUGUUUCCAGAAGAACCCUAAUGGCAAAUUAUUUAGAAUUCCUUAACUGCUCUCGAACCCAGAAAACAUCCCAAGGGGAUUUGUAGCUGCUGUUAACAAGUUUAAUUUAUCAGUACAGGCUCUCUAGAUAACACAUACUGACUUCUAUAACCAAGUUAUAACAUGAAGAACAUGGGCUGUUCUUCAGGUCCAACAGUUGGUUGACCUGGAAAUAUUAAACUAAUCACAUUUAAACAGUGACUGUUUUUGAGCAUAAGGCAACAGCCUAAAGAGUACAAACCAUUUGGUGACGUGCAGCAGAAGUUGCAUGUCUGGAAAUAACCUUGUUUCCAAGGUUGGAAAACUACUAUGGGAAAAGUGAACAAAAGAGAUGACCUUUUGUGUAGGUAAGGAGUUCAGAGUUACAUGAUUGUUAUUCCUUAAUUGCUGUAGCUGGUACAUGAAUUACCCAGUCACUGUGCUCUCCUAGGCAUGCCUCUUUUCCUUAUUAAAGAGGAGCAGUCAUAUGGCUAAUCACCUGCUCACUGAAACAGAAAUUGCAACAGAUAAGUCAGAAAUAGAAAGAAAGUAAAUUUAUUAUAAACAAAAUCAUUGAGAAAAAAAAACAACUAUUCAUCAAUUAUAAACUUCAGAUUGUAGGAUUUAUCUUGCAUUUGCCUUCCACCACCUGUCACAGAUUCGAUAGCUUAUCAUAAUUAUCUUGUUUAUUACUGAUAACCCAGGUGAGUAAUAUGUGAGAGGGCGAAUUCUGGGAGUAUAAUACAGAGAAACAGUGUAAGCAACCAUUUAUUGGGAUUAAUGAGUGAAGGGAUAUCAUACUUACGAGGGAAUGCUGCAGCACUGUUGAAAAUAGUCAUGAAGAGAAGGACAACAGAGACAAUUAAAUUUGUUUAAAAAUUAAUUAUUGAUCAUUUGUAAAUAUGCAUCCAUAGAUUUAGAUAAACUUGGCAUGCCUGAUAAUGCCUUCACACUCACAUUUGUGUACCCAUGCAC